AUGGGCAGAUUUCGCUGUGUUCUAGCUAGGACUAAUGAUAGAAGCCCAAAUACAAUCAGGUCAGGAACAAAAGGGUCCUUCCUGACUCUCAGAACUAGUUCAGUGAGUUUCUUCAGCAGCAAUGGGGUCAGGCUGUCAAUGCCUGCCAGGAGUCAGCCUGCCGCCCUCUCUCAGCUCUGCUCUGCCCUGACUGGACCUUCCCUGCUGUGGAAAAGAACUCCAGCGCUCCAGGUGCACACGAUUCCUGCAGUUGGCAAUUGGGAGUCUGUGGCCCUGGGUCGCCAGCCUGGCAGCACUGUGUCUGGUGCUGGAGUCUCCAUGAGGAAGCUGUGUGUGGACACAAGUGCAAGUUUGCCUGCUCUUCAGCCUCUCCACGGCGUGCAUCUGAGGUGCAGGCUCGGCCAUAUUGCCCACACUCAGAAGAGAGCAUCAGGAACCUUCUGCUGUCAGGACAACUGGACCACGUGCCUCCCAUUCCCAGGUCCCAGCAUGCUGUGGCUGCCUCUGUUCAGCUGUGGUCUUCCUCCCGUGCAGCACGCUCCUCCCAGCCCCAUCGCUGUCUUUGCAGGCUGAUCAGCAUGGUCACGAACAUGGGGCCACACAGGGGAACUGGUGUCCCACGCCUGGCCUCUUCUUGCCUGAGGUGCUUGUUGGCCAUAAUCAUAUGGCUCUUUGGCCCAUCCCAAGGCGGCCUUCUGUCAACAUGCUUUUAACUUUCUGGCAAGUCUUCCUUGUCUUGCCUGUGUGUGUGUUUUUUUUUUCUAUUGUGAUUUUUUUCUCCAGCAUGUCCUCACCCCCUUCAGGCUCCAUGCAAGCCGGCAAGGAGGGGCCAGGAGAGGUGGGGAUGGCAGCUGCUAUGGCUUAGUUUCCUUAAAGUUGUGUCCUUGGCUUUGUGGAGCUUGAGGGGAGGUUUGUAGGCUUUAAAUAUUUUUUGCUCUUUGGAUGGAAACCCAGGGCCUCCCGGUGGCAUUCUCCUCCACUGGAGGGUGCUGUAGUGUAGGAGUGGUAGUUGUGGAAUUGAUUUAAAAGCUGUUUGUUCCAAUUUCAAUAAGAGGACCAUGGGAGAUGUCACCACGUUAGACUAUGGGUUGGUGGUCUUUGGGGAUGGUGGUGGGAGAGGGAGUUCCCAUUGUCCCUCAUCCCAAGAUGCCAUUAAUGCUGGGACAAGAAGCAGGGCGCGGGAAGUGAUCCCAAGACAGUAGUGAGGACAAAGCCCUCAUCUCCCAGGGGUGGGGUGUUUGUUCCAGCCUCUGAAGUUUGCGAAGCCUAUGUCAUCUUUUAUAGGGUGUGGGGAUGCCUCACGGAGGCAGUCAAGGCCCAAGGUGGGAAAGUGGUCCCUGGGGGAUGGACGGGGGUCUCAUCCCCCAUGCAGCUGCACAGCAUCCUGAGGCAGGGCCUCAUGGUCAGGUGUGGGGUCCAGAGUCAGUCAGACCCAAGGACAGGCUGGUGGUGUCAUGUGUGCCCAGCCUGGGGGGCUAUGGUCUUGGGGGUCCUGAGGGCCAGGAGGGUCUAGUGCUGGCAUGGAGGCCUGGAGUGUGUUGGGCAGCCUGAGACCAGACCCCGGAGGAACUCUCAGGAGAGCCUGGGCACAUUUUGAAGCAUAUUCAUUGCUGGAAAGGAAUACCGCUGCAGAGUGGGUCUGUGGGAACAGUCUGUGGUUUUCCCCAGUUUAAUCCUUCGGUUCUGGCGUUCAACAAUUGAUUUUUCUGGCUCCCAGAUUACAGCUUUGUUUUCUAAACUCUAGCUCAGUCUUUUCCAAACUUGGUUGGUGGUAGGCUUUGGAAGAAUAAUUUCACCAAACUUCUCCAAGACCCAAGUGUCAGAUGACUAAGAGCAGAGCUCAGGAGCCAGAGUGGUCCUCUAGCUUCCGCAGUCACCUGUCUUGUAAGUUACUAGCGCAGGGGCAGCUCUGAGUGAGUGUCUCCUAAGCGGUUUCCUUAGUGGGUGGAAAUAAACGAAGACCACCCAAAUGAGAACAAAGGCUGUUUAUUCAGAGCUGUUAUAGCAAGGGGGUCCGCGGCCAUCACUUGUGUCCUGACAGACUCACAGGCAGGUGAGGAGUGGAGAAGCUUCAUCAUGGAAAAGGGGAGGCUUCGGAGGCCUGGUCUGUGGGCCUGGGGAAGCCAGAGGCGACUGGUGAGAAGUGGGCAUCCCAUGAGAUUAGCUAGGGGACAUACUGGGCUUUCUCUGGUUGGUCCUAGAUUGGAAGCAGGGACAAAAACUAGGAAAACUGUCAGUUAUUAAUCAAGUCCUGGCCCAUUGGGUCUGAUUGUUAGAGAAUGUAUUGUUUAAUUUCCCGUAUUAUUUCUAGAGAUAGCAAUCUGAAUUCUUACAAGCCUUGCAUAGAACAGGCUGGCCUCCUGGACUGGUUCCUGUAGAUGUCGGCUUGGCCUCCUGGGCUGGCUGCUGCAGGGGUUGGGUGGGAGUUCUACUCUUACAGAUGUUCUGGCCAUUGUGCAUUUGUGUACUCAGUCUCUGAAGUGCUCGGCCAUAGUAAGCACUCCCUAAAAAGUAGCUAUUGUUGUCUCUCCCACCUGAUGAUGACCAGAUUAUUCACCUGGACUGUCUGAGAACUAAGCCCUGCCCAUUUCAGUGGCUGCUUGGCAUGCACGCCCUGGGCCAUCUCCAGAUCUGGCUGACUCUGGCCUCAUGUGGUCUUUCCAUGGUAGCUCUACCUAGGGGGCUUUGGCACAUCAGUGCAGUCAGAUGACAUGGUGGAAAUAUUUGUUGAAUGGAUUGCUAGACUCCUUUUCUAGAGGUUCAGGGCCCACAACCAAUGUCAUCAUAUUAUGUGCUUUGCAUUUUAAAUUCUCUAACGUCGUAGUCUUCCCCAGGCCAGUGUACAUCCUUUACAGGGAAUAAGGCACUUUCAGAAUGUCUUAUCAGUCUCUCUCCUCACAUUUCUUGAUUUCUUUUUGUGUCAUUUUCUCACUCAUUUCCUUUCGUAUGUUCCUUUGAUCUCCAACUUUUCCUUAGUUUCUCAUUAUUCUGACUAUUCCCUAAUUUUCACAGCUUCCAAAAUACUUCCAGAAUGGGAGAUUGUAUUAGUUUUUUCCUAUUGCUGCUAUAAGAAGUUACCGUAAACCUGAUGGCUUAAAACAACACAAACUUAUUACCUUAGAGUUCUGGAGGUCAGAAGUCUCAUGGAGCUAAAAUCAAGGUGCCAGCAGGGCUGGUUUCUUCUGGAGGCAUCAGAAGAGGAUCCAUUUCUUUGCCUUUUCCACUUUCUGGAGGUCACAUGUAUCCCUUGGCUCAUGGCCCAUCCCUCCCUCUGAAAGCAAGGAGAGUAGUAUCUCCAGGUUGGUCGGCGUCUCUCUCCUGUCCUCUCCGACCCCUGCUCUGUUAUGUUUGAAGGAUGUUUACAUUCAUCUCAUUUGAUUCAAAUAUUCGAGGUUGUCAGUAUCUGCAUGGUUUUGAUGACAAUGGUUCAUUCAGGGAGGUAAAGGACCUUGCACACACCCUGGUGUGACCCAUGGGAAACGGAUCAGAAAGCAGCCUUCAGACUGAAUCAUCUUCUUUGCUUCUUACUUUCUCAGAUAAAGAAACAAAAGCCAACAGAGGUCAAGUAAUUUUCACAAGGUUAUACAACUUGCUUACAUAAAAGCAAAAUCAUGGAGAAAAUCUGUUGGUAAAGAUAAACAGUAUUCUUCUCAAUUAUUUUCCUGCAGUUCUUUUAUUCUAGUCCAAGGCAGAUUUCUGAGCCAAUGGGUAAACACACUUAAUGGCUUUUUUUGAGAAACGUCUUUUCAUAUCCUUUGCUUGUUUUUAGAUCAGGUUAUGUGUUUUCUUGCUAUUAAGUUGUGUUCCUUGUAUAUUUUGGAUGUUAACCCCUUAUCAACUGCAUGGUUUGCAAAUAUUUUCCUCCCAUUUCACAGGUUGUCUCUUCACUCUGUUGUUUGUUUCCUUUGCUAUGCAAAAUCUUUUUAGUUGGAUGCAAUCCCAUUUGUCUAUGUUUGCUUUUGUUGCUUGUGCUUUUGCCAACAUAUCAUAAAAGUAAUUGCCCAGACCAAUGUCAAGAAGCUUUUUCCUGUUUUCUUCUAAGACUUUUACAGUUUCAAGUAUUGCAUUUAAGACUUUAGUUCAUUUUGAGUUUAUUUUUGUAUUUGGUAUGACAUAAAGGUCUAAUUUCAUUCUUCUGCUUGUGGACAUCCAGUUUUCCUAACAGCAUUUAUUGAAGAGACUGUUCUUUUUCCGAUGUGGGUUCUGGGCAUAUUUGCUGCAGAUCAAUCAACUGUGAAUGCAUGGAUUUUCUUCUGGACUCUGCUCUGUUCCAUUGAUCUAUAUUUCUUUCUUUUUUUUCUUUUUGUUUUGAGACGGAGUCUUGCUCUGUCACCCAGGCUGGAGUGCAGUGCACCACUGGAGUGCAUCUUGGCUCACUGCAACAUCUCCCUCCCAGGUUCAAGCAAUUCUCCUGCCUCAGCCUCCCAGGUAGCUGGGAUUACGGGUGCCUGCCACAGCCUGGCUAAUUUUUGUAUUUUUAGUAAAGGUGGAGUUUUGCCAUGUUGGCCAGGCUGAUCUCAAACUCCUGACCUCAAGUGAUCCACCCGUCUCGGCCUUCCAGAGUUCUGGGAUUACAGGUGUGAGCCACCUUGCCUGGCCAAUUAGUCUAUAUUUCUUUUUUUAAGUGACCACCAUGUUAUUUCAAUUUCCAAAGCUUUGUAGUAUAUUUUGAAAUCAG
rnacentral:lncRNA from 1 species